UGCGAUUAGCUCCCGUGCACGUGUACUUCAUAUUCCUUUAUUUUCUGUUAAAGGGUCUGAACACGACUUGAUGCAAAUUUAACCCUUGAAUGUAAAAGGUCAUAUGGCAAUACAUUGAUGUUUUUUCAACAAAAGAUUUGAUACCGGGAAAUUGGUGGUCUUACUUUAAUUUAAACCAUGUCAGCUAUCUAGUUUUAUCCACAGGCGCUUG
rnacentral:lncRNA from 1 species